UACGGAUGGUGCGAGCGUUGUUCGGAAUUACUGGGCGUAAAGGGCGCGUAGGCGGCGUGAUCAGUCAGAUGUGAAAGCCCACGGCUUAACCGUGGAAGUGCAUCUGAUACUGUCAUGCUUGAGUAUCGGAGAGGAAAGUGGAAUUCCCGGUGUAGAGGUGAAAUUCGUAGAGAUCGGGAGGAAUACCGGUGGCGAAGGCGACUUUCUGGACGAAUACUGACGCUGAGGCGCGAAAGCGUGGGGAGCAAACAGG
rnacentral:rRNA from 1 species